rnacentral:rRNA from 1 species
UACGAAGGGGGCUAGCGUUGUUCGGAAUUACUGGGCGUAAAGGGCGCGUAGGCGGCCCUGUUAGUCAGGCGUGAAAGUCCUGGGCUCAACCUGGGAACUGCGCUUGAUACGGCAGAGCUAGAGGAUGGAAGAGGGUCGCGGAAUUCCCAGUGUAGAGGUGAAAUUCGUAGAUAUUGGGAAGAACACCGGUGGCGAAGGCGGGGACCUGGUCCAUUACUGACGCUGAGGCGCGACAGCGUGGGGAGCAAACAGG